AUUGAACGCUGGCGGCAGGCCUAACACAUGCAAGUCGAGCGGCAGCGGAAAGUAGCUUGCUACUUUGCCGGCGAGCGGCGGACGGGUGAGUAAUGUCUGGGAAACUGCCUGAUGGAGGGGGAUAACUACUGGAAACGGUAGCUAAUACCGCAUAACGUCGCAAGACCAAAGAGGGGGACCUUCGGGCCUCUUGCCAUCAGAUGUGCCCGGAUGGGAUUAGCUAGUAGGUGGGGUAACGGCUCACCUAGGCGACGAUCCCUAGCUGGUCUGAGAGGAUGACCAGCCACACUGGAACUGAGACACGGUCCAGACUCCUACGGGAGGCAGCAGUGGGGAAUAUUGCACAAUGGGCGCAAGCCUGAUGCAGCCAUGCCGCGUGUAUGAAGAAGGCCUUCGGGUUGUAAAGUACUUUCAGCGGGGAGGAAGGUGUUGAGGUUAAUAACCUCAGCAAUUGACGUUACCCGCAGAAGAAGCACCGGCUAACUCCGUGCCAGCCGCCGCGGUAAAAC
rnacentral:rRNA from 1 species